CAGGUUGGCAGACACUUCUGGGUUCCUGCUUGGUCGGCGUGGGGAGGGCCCACCCAGGGAGGCCGGGGUGGUCGGGCUCCUCAGCAGGGUCCCCGGGUAGGGGGUACCGCAGGCCACAGCAUGGCCUCUCACUAUCCCAAACCCUCCAUCCCUGAGUUGAUGCAGGGUGGCCCUGACCCGUGAGCCUGGGCAAGGGGACGCUGGAGCCUGGGCGAGGGGAUGCUGCAGCCAGGGUGAGGACGCAGACCCCUGAGGAAGCCGGCCUGAGUCACGUGGGCCUGGAAUCCAACACAUUCCCAGGGGGCUCUCGUUCCUGUCCUUUGGAAACACCUCUCCCGGAACCAGCCAGCACUGAGGCUGAGGCAUCCACCAGCCCUCAGGGGCCCCUGAUCUGGCUGAGACACAAGCCCCACCUGGGUAUAGGAAGCCCUGGCAGCCCCUGAAGAACCUGGGUUGAGAGGGAGCCCCCUGGGUUUUCGGGACACAAGGUAUCGCAGCACCAAAUCUAUAUAUGCACCCAAUGAUCAGGCGUCAAAAUAAAAACACUGAUAGAAAUGGAGAAGGAGUGAUGGACAUGUCCCCGUUCUAGUAGGCUGCCUGAAUGCAGGCAAAAACCAGCAAGCACGCUGGAGGCAGGGCAGCCGUGGCCACCUGACACGCACGGCUGCCUGACAUGCACGGAGCCUGGCCCCUUUCUCGACGGAGCACACGCCGUUCAGACGUGUGCAGAACAUUUACCAAAACCAACCAGGGCUGCACCACGUGCAGCCACUGCAGAGUCCCCAGGACCGAGACCACUCGGUGUGUUUUCAACCACCAGGACAUUAAACAGGAAGUCAGUCAUGAAAAUAGACCCGUGAGAAACAGUCGCCUUGAAAUUAAACAAGAUACAAUCAUCAAGUCAGUCAAACAAGAAAUUGCAAUGGAAUUUAUAAAACGGACUUAGAGAAUGAAAAUACUGAGGGAAGAGAAAAGGAAAAGUCAGUGAGGCCGACAGCCAAGGCUGGUCUUUGGAGAAACAGCCUGAAAUGUCACAGCCACAGGCAGAGAGAGAGCUGCCAGGCAAAACCAAGCUGCGGCAGCACUGGUGAGUCGGGGGGAGGGAGGGCAGCAGAGAAGCCUUCGUUCUCCAGGUCAUCAGCCGGCUGCCAGGGAAAGUUUCCUCCCCUUUUCAGGCAUGAACACGGUGGGCUCCGAGGGAACCUGCAUGGGUUGUGGGAGGGGGUGGGGGCUUAUCCAAAACACACCCACAGCUGCACAAACAAGAGAGGCUGCGCUUUGUGCUCCCUAAAGACACACCCGCAGCGGCACAGAUAAGGAAGUCACAAGAACAGCGAAAGAGACCAGCGGACUUUCUUAUCAAAGCGUUUGGAUUCAACUGUGAAAAUGGCAGCCCACUCGGGCCCCCUCUCCGCCACAGAGAGCUUUUUUCUUUCACUUAUUAAACUUUCGCUGCAACUUCUCCCUGUGUCCACGCGCCUUAAUUUUCUGGGUUGUGAGACGAUGGACAACGAGCUCGGAUAACACCUUAGACAACGUGACCAGCAACCCUAGACCGUGUCGAUCCUACGUAUCAAAACUUGGGAGACUAAAACGGGGGUUAGAGGAAAAAUACAGCCUUGAAUACAAGAAAAAACCCAGAAAAACCUUGAUUUAAGCUUUGAUUUCAAGAAGCUGGACAACAACAUAAAUCAUAUCUAAGGACAGCAAAAGGCAGGUACGUCCCGGCCUGGCCUGCAUGGGGCGGGGGCCGCGGAAGAACCCUGCGCCCUCCACACGGGACUUGACGUCUGCUCUGCCCUGGCCCCUCCUCGCUGGAGCACCAUCAGCAGCAUUCAUGGAUGAGGACGCAGCUCACAGGAGGCCCUGCCGACCCUCGCUUCUGGUCCACACCCACCCGCUACCUGAGCAGGCCAAUGGAGGCUGGUUGCAUGCAGAGCCUCGAUUCCAUCAAUUCACUCGAGGCACGGGUGACUGGUGUUGGAGCCAGACUUGGGAUAGAAGCAGGAGCACCUACCGAGGGGCCCGCCUCCCAGUAGCAGUUCUGGGGCUACUACCAAUAAAGCUGCUGCCAACAUUCAUGUGCAAGGUAUCCACAGAUCCUGAUCCACAGACGUGGUAUGUUCCUCCAUUUACUUAGGAAUUCUCAGAUCCUGAUCCACAGACGUGGUAUGUUCCUCCAUUUACUUAGGAAUUCUCAGAUCCUGAUCCACAGACGUGGUAUGUUCCUCCAUUUACUUAGGAAUUCUCAGAUCCUGAUCCACAGACCUGGUAUGUUCCUCCAUUUACUUAGACAUUCUCAGAUCCUGAUCCACAGACGUGGUAUGUUCCUCCAUUUACUUAAGAAUUCUCAGAUCCUGAUCCACAGACGUGGUAUGUUCCUCCAUUUACUUAGGAAUUCUCAGAUCCUGAUCCACAGACGUGGUAUGUUCCUCCAUUUACUUAAGAAUUCUCAGAUCCUGAUCCACAGACGUGGUAUGUUCCUCCAUUUACUUAGGAAUUCUCAGAUCCCAAUCCACAGACGUGGUAUGUUCCUCCAUUUACUUAGACAUUCUCAGAUCCUGAUCCACAGACGUGGUAUGUUCCUCCAUUUACUUAGGAAUUCUCAGAUCCUGAUCCACAGACGUGGUAUGUUCCUCCAUUUACUUAAGAAUUCUCAGAUCCUGAUCCACAGACGUGGUAUGUUCCUCCAUUUACUUAGGAAUUCUCAGAUCCUGAUCCACAGACGUGGUAUGUUCCUCCAUUUACUUAGGAAUUCUCAGAUCCUGAUCCACAGACGUGAUGGGGGAGUAUCUGAUCCCUGUUAUUCCAUUUCAGCUAGAAGCAGAAGUCAGCUGGCUUGUAAGGUAAGUUACAGUGGGG
rnacentral:lncRNA from 1 species